rnacentral:rRNA from 1 species
CUCAGAUUGAACGCUGGCGGCAGGCCUAACACAUGCAAGUCGAACGGUAGCACAGAGAGCUUGCUCUCGGGUGACGAGUGGCGGACGGGUGAGUAAUGUCUGGGAAACUGCCCGAUGGAGGGGGAUAACUACUGGAAACGGUAGCUAAUACCGCAUAACGUCGCAAGACCAAAGUGGGGGACCUUCGGGCCUCACACCAUCGGAUGUGCCCAGAUGGGAUUAGCUAGUAGGUGGGGUAACGGCUCACCUAGGCGACGAUCCCUAGCUGGUCUGAGAGGAUGACCAGCCACACUGGAACUGAGACACGGUCCAGACUCCUACGGGAGGCAGCAGUGGGGAAUAUUGCACAAUGGGCGCAAGCCUGAUGCAGCCAUGCCGCGUGUAUGAAGAAGGCCUUCGGGUUGUAAAGUACUUUCAGCGAGGAGGAAGGCAUUAAGGUUAAUAACCUUAGUGAUUGACGUUACUCGCAGAAGAAGCACCGGCUAACUCCGUGCCAGCAGCCGCGGUAAUACGGAGGGUGCAAGCGUUAAUCGGAAUUACUGGGCGUAAAGCGCACGCAGGCGGUUUGUUAAGUCAGAUGUGAAAUCCCCGGGCUCAACCUGGGAACUGCAUUUGAAACUGGCAAGCUUGAGUCUCGUAGAGGGGGGUAGAAUUCCAGGUGUAGCGGUGAAAUGCGUAGAGAUCUGGAGGAAUACCGGUGGCGAAGGCGGCCCCCUGGACGAAGACUGACG